AAGAAAAUGGGGCACAUUCUGCCUUAACCCUUUGAAGGUUUUUGCCGUAUCUGUACGGCGGUGGUUUUCUGUCCCGCAAGGUCUUUGCCGUACGGGUACGGUUUCGAUCCUUCGUUUCAAAUUUCGCGCCAUAAUGACGAUGCAUGUUUACUGGGAGGUGCUGCUACCUUUUAGGACUUACAAGAAGCGUUUGACAUUUGUGCUACCUUCUUGCGGAGAUAAACAGAACUGAUUUCUAGUUUCAGCGCGUGCAUUCAGCGCGUUUCAGCGCGUGCAUCAGCGCGUGCGCAGCGACUGCGGCAACACCCUUUCGCGGUUUCGGUUUUGCCGCGUGAUCGCAACGGAGGCGCGCAAAAUGUGAUUUUUCUCUUUGUCGGCACUCCCUUGAAGGGGCGGCGGAAGUUGAUUUCUACCCUUAUUGGCGCUGCUCAUAGCUUGUUUAUCACCGUCACUCACGAGGUAUUCUCGCUCUCUGCGGCAACGCGCUUUCGGUUCCGCCGCGUGAUCGCAACGGAGGCG
rnacentral:lncRNA from 1 species